GACGGGGGAUGCAGGCGUUAUCCGGAAUCACUGGGCGUAAAGCGUCUGUAGGUGGUGAUGCAGGUCACUGGUGCAAAACUCUGGCUCAACCGGAGGAAAGCCAGUGAAACUGCAUGACUAGAGUGUGUGAGAGGUAGAAGGAAUUCCCUGAGUAGCGGUGAAAUGCGUAGAUACAGGGAAGAACACCGGAGGCGAAAGCGUUCUACUGGAACACAACUGACACUGAGAGUCGAAAGCUAGGGGAGCGAAUGGG
rnacentral:rRNA from 1 species